rnacentral:rRNA from 1 species
CCUACGGGAGGCAGCAGUGAGGAAUAUUGGUCAAUGGGCGAGAUCCUGAACCAGCCAAGUCGCGUGAGGGAAGACGGUCCUAUGGAUUGUAAACCUCUUUUGCCGGGGAGCAAAACGCGGUACGCGUACCGCAUCGCGCGUACCCGUCGACAAAGCAUCGGCUAACUCCGUGCCAGCAGCCGCGGUAAUACGGAGGAUGCGAGCGUUAUCCGGAUUUAUUGGGUUAAAAGGGUGCGCAGGCGGGGCGUUAAGUCAGCGGUAAAAUUUCGGGGCUCAACCCCGGCAAGCCGUUGAAACUGGCGGGCUAGAGUGGGCGAGAAGUAAGCGGAAUGCGUGGUGUAGCGGUGAAAUGCAUAGAUAUCGCGCAGAACUCCGAUUGCGAAGGCAGCGUACCGGAGCAAGACUGACGCUGAGGCACGAAAGCGUGGGGAUCGAACAGGAUUAGAUACCCGUGUAGUC